CAACAGCUAGAGUUUGAUCCUGGCUCAGGAUGAACGCUGGCGGCGUGCUUAACACAUGCAAGUCGAGCGAAGCACUUUUGUUGAUUUCUUCGGAUUGAAGCAAUUGUGACUGAGCGGCGGACGGGUGAGUAACGCGUGGGGAACCUGGCCCAUACAGGGGGAUAACAGUUAGAAAUGACUGCUAAUACCGCAUAAGCGCACGAAACCGCAUGGUUUUGUGUGAAAAACUCCGGUGGUAUGGGAUGGCCCCGCGUCUGAUUAGGUAGUUGGUGAGGUAACGGCCCACCAAGCCGACGAUCAGUAGCCGACCUGAGAGGGUGACCGGCCACAUUGGGACUGAGACACGGCCCAAACUCCUACGGGAGGCAGCAGUGGGGAAUAUUGCACAAUGGGGGAAACCCUGAUGCAGCGACGCCGCGUGAAGGAAGAAGUAUUUCGGUAUGUAAACUUCUAUCAGCAGGGAAGAAGAUGACGGUACCUGACUAAGAAGCCCCGGCUAACUACGUGCC
rnacentral:rRNA from 1 species